rnacentral:rRNA from 1 species
ACUCCUACGGGAGGCAGCAGUGGGGAAUAUUGCACAAUGGGCGCAAGCCUGAUGCAGCCAUGCCGCGUGUGUGAAGAAGGCCUUCGGGUUGUAAAGCACUUUCAGUUGUGAGGAAGGUGGUGUCGUUAAUAGCGGCAUCAUUUGACGUUAGCAACAGAAGAAGCACCGGCUAACUCCGUGCCAGCAGCCGCGGUAAUACGGAGGAUCCAAGCGUUAUCCGGAAUCAUUGGGUUUAAAGGGUCCGUAGGCGGUUUUAUAAGUCAGUGGUGAAAUCCGGCAGCUCAACUGUCGAACUGCCAUUGAUACUGUAGAACUUGAAUUAUUGUGAAGUAACUAGAAUAUGUAGUGUAGCGGUGAAAUGCUUAGAGAUUACAUGGAAUACCAAUUGCGAAGGCAGGUUACUAACAAUAUAUUGACGCUGAUGGACGAAAAGCGUGGGUAGCGAAACAGGAUUAGAUACCCUGGUAGGAUAGCGU